GAGUGGAACCAUCUAGGUGGAUGGCCGCGAUUGCUAAUCGUGGGGCAGCGUAACGCUGUGUGGAUCGUGCCCACUCCUCUCC
rnacentral:tRNA from 6 species